CCUACGGGUGGCAGCAGUGAGGAAUAUUGGUCAAUGGGCGAGAGCCUGAACCAGCCAAGUCGCGUGAAGGAUGACGGCCCUACGGGUUGUAAACUUCUUUUGUCAGGGAGCAAUUGAGUCCACGUGUGGUCUUAGCGGGCGUACCUGAAGAAAAAGCAUCCGCUAACUCCGUUCCGGGAGCCGCGGUAAUACGGGGGAUGCGAGCGUUAUCCGGAUUUAUUGGGUUUAACGGGUGCGUAGGCGGAAUAUAAAGUCAGCGGUAAAAAGUCGGGGCUCAAACCCGUCGUGCCGUUGAGACUGAUGUUCUUGAGUGGGCGAGAGGUAUGCGGAAUGCGUGGUGUAGCGGUGAAAUGCAUAGAUAUCACGCAGAACUCCGAUUGCGAAGGCAGCAUACCGGCGCCCAACUGACGCUGAAGCACGAAAGCGUGGGUAUCGAACAGGAUUAGAUACCCUAGUAGUC
rnacentral:rRNA from 1 species